rnacentral:lncRNA from 1 species
GUUCCAUAUUGAGCAGUAGGGAGUUCUAGGUCUUUCUCUCCUUUGCUGUUACUCUCCCAGUCUGCAGUCUGAAGCCUUAGUUUGUAGUUCCUCCUCUGUGUGGGGUUUGUCCUGGAAAGAAGCCCUCACUGUUGCUCUGCCCAUUUUCCUAGAAGGAAGAUUCAAAGUCUAUGGUGCCAUUGGCGCCACUGUCCUAUUUUUAUUUUGAAGACCCUGCUGGUGUGUAGAUCUCAGAAGUACAGGCAUUCUUGUGGAUUCUCUGCUGCUUAAGUUUCAGCACAAAAAGUCACAUGUUACGAAGUGCUAAGUACGUGGGAGGCACCAAAAAUAUGUGUUAAAUGAAUGAAGGUUCUUAACCACAUACAGUCAACGUUAGACAUCUGAGCAGAUUCUAAUAGUGUAGCAGACACUCUGGCACACUGAGCAAAAUUGGCAGAAAUAGAUCUCUUGUGCAAUGAUAAUUCAAUGGCCAGAUCCACGUGGCAAGACAAGGGGAUGGACUCCAGCUAGCUCUGUGCUGCCAUUGGGCCUCCUCUAUGCAGGUCAAUGUACAGAAGAGCAACAAUCCUCAUAAAGCUGAUUAACGGACCCCCAGCAAUGGGGAGGAGGCAAUGAAUUUAGAACUUAGCCCUGGAAGAAAGUGAAAGAACAACUCCAGUUUACCGAUGAGGCAGUGCCCAAGUUCAAACAGCCAUGAGCAGUGGAGCCACACUCCUGGAUGAUGAGGCCGUCCUGGUUUGCACAGACAACCUGCUUGUUUCAACAGGACCAUGGAGGAGAGUAGAGGCCACCAGCCAUAUGCAGGGACCGUGCUCCGUUCCAGCUCUGCCAUGGGAAGCUGUAUGACCUUGCAUGGCUGCCCAAAGCUCCUUUUGUCUUGCCCUGCCUCCCUCUAUAAGUAUGGAACGCGGCCGGGCGU